rnacentral:rRNA from 1 species
GAUGAACGCUAGCGGCAGGCCUAAUACAUGCAAGUCGAACGGGUUGUUUCAGCAAUGGAACGAUCAGUGGCGCACGGGUGCGUAACGCGUAUGCAACCUACCUUAAACUGGGGGAUAGCC